GUGCUCACUUUGGCAGCACAUAUACUAAAAUUGGAACAAUACAGAGAUUAGCAUGGCCCCUGCGCAAGGAUGACGGAAAAAUUUGUGAAGCGUUCCAUAUUUUA